UACGUAGGGGGCAAGCGUUGUCCGGAAUCAUUGGGCGUAAAGCGCGUGUAGGCGGCCCGAUAAGUCCGCUGUGAAAGUCCAGGGCUCAACCCUGGAAUGCCGGUGGAUACUGUCGGGCUCGAGUCCGGAAGAGGCGAGUGGAAUUCCUGGUGUAGCGGUGAAAUGCGCAGAUAUCAGGAGGAACACCCGUGGCGAAAGCGGCUCUCUGGGACGGUACUGACGCUGAGACGCGAAAGCGUGGGGAGCAAACAGG
rnacentral:rRNA from 1 species